CGCACUAGUUCAGAGUUUGAUCCUGGCUCAGGAUGAACGCUAGCUACAGGCUUAACACAUGCAAGUCGAGGGGAAACGGCAUUGAGUGCUUGCACUCUUUGGACGUCGACCGGCGCACGGGUGAGUAACGCGUAUCCAACCUUCCCAUUACUGUGGGAUAACCUGCCGAAAGGCAGACUAAUACCGCAUAGUCUUCGAUGACGGCAUCAGAUUUGAAGUAAAGAUUUAUCGGUAAUGGAUGGGGAUGCGUCUGAUUAGCUUGUUGGCGGGGUAACGGCCCACCAAGGCAACGAUCAGUAGGGGUUCUGAGAGGAAGGUCCCCCACAUUGGAACUGAGACACGGUCCAA
rnacentral:rRNA from 1 species